rnacentral:lncRNA from 1 species
AUUAGCUUCUUCCAUAUCGGAUCUAGCCAAGGCGACCUCAAGAGGAUUUAUAUAUAUAUAUAUAUGCAUUAGUCCAUUUGACUUCACAUAGCUCAAUUCAGGUUUUAACUGUCCUAUAUAGGACUUAAAAAUUAUUCAUAAAGAAUAUCAUUUGACCUUGAUUGGAUCAAUCAUGAAGCUAAUGUGCUCAUCAUGAUAAGUAAAUGUUAGAACAUUAAAAUAAUCUGACUUUAAGAAUUAGAUCAGUUAAUUAAGAACAAAUCGAUAUUAAUGAAUCAAAUGUAUUUGACAGAGAUUUUAAAAGGUACCUCUAUUAGAUGUCAACAUGGGU